rnacentral:rRNA from 1 species
UACAGAGGUCUCAAGCGUUGUUCGGAUUCAUUGGGCGUAAAGGGUGUGUAGGUGGCGCGCUAAGUCGGGUGUGAAAUUUCGGAGCUUAACUCCGAAACUGCAUUCAAUACUGGCGUGCUUGAGGACUGGAGAGGAGACUGGAAUUCAUGGUGUAGCAGUGAAAUGCGUAGAGAUCAUGAGGAAGACCAGUGGCGAAGGCGGGUCUCUGGACAGUUCCUGACACUGAGGCACGAAGGCCAGGGGAGCAAACGGG